AGAAAACGCUCCCAAUAUGCCCAAUUUGGAGUUUUCACUGAAGAAGAAAAGCUCCAUUUCUAUGAAAAUCUAUGGCUCGAAGGAUUUCAGAUCCAAUUGCUGAGUAACUCAAAGCUUCAAGAGCAGCUGGGUUUUCGUCGCCAGUCUGCUAUUGGUUGCAAGCACCAGCGUAAGAUCUAAUAGCAAGCAUACCACCGUGCACAAAGGGAUGGCAGAACGCUGAUCCAGUCGCGUGAUAAACCCAUUCAACUUCUAAGGUUUCUUUUUUUUUUUCUCCGAUUUAAAUCCCUUGUAACUUGAUGAGUCAUUUUGCUGCAGUUCAUAAUCAUGUAUCCUUUUCUAUCAAUAUCUUCAGCAAGAACCAGUGAUCGAUCAA